rnacentral:lncRNA from 1 species
UCAGGACCUUCAGAAGAGCAGUCGGGUGCACUUACCUGUUGAGCCAUCUCACCAGCCCCUGGUACACAUGUUUAAUACCAGAAGAUACAGGCAAGCUGACCUUUGAGUUCAAGGCCAGCCUAGGACAGAGCUAGUUUCAGGUAAAAUCCUGGCUAAGUCCAGCUAAGGUCCUGGCAUCAUGGUACAGUACAGACCUUUACUCUGGGCCAGGCCUUUUGUGUAAGGCCUACAUCAGGACGAUGGAAGAAGGAAGGCUCACUCUUCUUCACUUGCAUGCACCUACCUGCCAGCACAUCUGUUGGAACCUGCUUCUUCAGGAUUCCAGCUUAUGCAGAAGAUCAGCAGAAACACCCAGCCUUGUGGGACUGAGCAAUUUACAGACUCUUGGAGUUCCUGUUCACAACUGGCAUUGCUGGGUUAGUUGGACUGCAGACUGUAAGUCAUCCCUAGAGUUUCCCUUAAUAUUUAGGGGAAUUCCAUAAAUUCUGUGACUCUGGAGAACUCUAAGAUCCCUGGGCAACACAGUAAAUUCCAGGUCAGCCUGGGCUACACAGAGAGACCUUGUCUCAAUGCACUGUUGGUCAAAGGGGGCUAGUAGGGAAAACGACACAAUUUUACUCAGUGGAGUUGGAGAAGGGGUUUGCUUUUAAAGAAAGGCCAACUGAAUAGCAGACAUAUAUUCUUAGGGUUUACUAAUAGCUAAGAGAAGAAAAAUGACGUCAAAAAGGUAAGGGAGGGCUAGGGACAUGGUAGAGGGUUACCUCUGAGGGCAGACCCAAGGACAGCAUAGAAAGGGGAGUCUGUAGCCAGGCAGUGGUGGCGCACACCAUUAAUCCCCCCCCCACUUGAGAGGCAGAGGGAGGGGGAUUUCUGAGUUCGAGGCCAGCCUGGUCUACAGAGUGGUUUCCAGGGCAGCCAGGGCUACACAGAGAAAGCCUGUCUCAAAAAACCAAAAUAAAUCAAUAAAUCAAUGAAAGAAAGAAAGAAAGAAAGAAAGAAAGAAAGAAAGAAAGAAAGAAAGGAAGGAAGAAAGAAAGGAAGAAAGGAAGGAAGAAAGAAAGGGGAGUCUGUGAGGAACAAGGCAGGAAGAAGGGAGAGCCAUGGUGAAAGGGACUGGGCUAGUGUGACAGCUGUUCUCUGCAGGCUUUCCUCUUGGGGGAGGUGGGACAUGGGAAGUUGACUGCACUUAUCCCACACCAUCGCUGUAGGUGUUGGGCCAUAGGGAGGCUCCAGGACAGAGCUACAGGGGUUGGGGAGCAGAGUCUGAGGCACAGGACAGCUGGAGCUGGCUUGAGGUUUCCUGGGCCUGGGAAGAGGCCAGGGUCACAGAGUUCCCAGGCUCUUUGACAUGCAGGCACCACUGGAAGUUGCAGAAGAGCUGAGAACUGAAUCUGGGCCCUCAGGCUGGAUCUAGCCCGGGGCGGGGGUGGAAAGGGGUGAAGGGGUUAGCUUCUUCAGCUGGUGGUGGUGGUGGGAGAGAAGAGUCCUUGGCUUGACUGCAGGUUGCAGGCUUGGCUUGGGCUUGUAGUGGUUGUGGCUGGGGGUACAAUGAGGUCUUCUACGGGAGACUAUAGGUGAAGGCCUUCUCCAUGGCUUUCCAUGGCUCCCCAUGGCAGAUCCCGAUGAAAAGAGAGUCUGUGGUUUUAAGACAUUUAUUAUCAUGGUGAAAAAUGGAUGUGUAAAACCAUACCUCCCUUCUUAGGGUCGGCCUGAGAUUAAACACCUUUUGCAGGGAAGAAUAUCUGAGAAGGAAAUCAUACACACACACACACACACACACACAGAGAGAGAGAGAGAGAGAGAGAGAGAGGAAAGAAGCCCUCCAGGCCUUUAUGUACCUCAUUAGCAUGGAGAUCUGUCUUGAGCCUACGUGUCCAUAGGCCAUGUAGGUCCUUUUCUACAUGUGGGGGGCUUGGGGUGUUGUCCUUACAUGACUGAUGGUCACAAAUCUAUGGGGUCACUGAAGCUAGUUCCAGGGGCUUGGUGCCUGGGAGCAAAGUGCUUACUGUCCCUUCAGGGCUUCUAGCCUUAGUUUAACCAGGAUCCAGGCUACCUUUCAUGGUCCCACGGUCCUCUGCCCCUCUGCAAGUGUUGAGAAUCUCCUUAUCCUUACCGUGAUUUCCUGCAGAGGCUGAUGGGAAUCGGAGCUGCUUGUGUUUCUAAUAGUUGUAACUAAGAAAAGAAAAUUAGACAUACGGGCUAGGGUUAUGGUUUGUUUGUAGAGGACUUGGCUAGCACGCACAAAACCCUGGUUUUAAUUCCCAGCAUAGUAUAAAGCAGGUGAGAUGACGCCCACCUGUAAUCCCAGCACUCAGGAGGUACAGGCCGUAGGAUCAGAAGUGAAGGUUGUUUUAAUCUACAGAGCAAAGGCCAGCCUGGGCUUCAGGAGGCAGGCAGAUCUCUAUGAGUCUGAGGCCAGCCUGAUCUACAUAGUGAGUUCCAGGACAGGCAGGGCAACAUAGUGAGACCCUAACACACACACACACACACACACACACACACACACACACACACACACACGAGAGGGAAGAAGUGAGGAUGCUGGCUUUUAUGUUUGCUUUGUGUUUGGUUUGCCUUGGUUGGGAUGGAGUAAGUUAGACCCAAAGUUGACUGUUGUUUGAGCACUGAGGCAUAGUUUCGCAAGCAUCUGACAGCCCUGUUGAUCAGGUUUAACUUGCUGGUUUAUGGCUUUAGAGCCUCUGGGCUUAGUGCUGUUAACCGUUCUCCCCAGGGUUCCUGCCUCUUACCUCACUGACCCCCUUCAGAAGCCUUCAGGGCUUUACGUUUGUAGCUGCUGGGAAUAGCAAGGUGCUGGCCACUGAUUGACUGAUGCUUUUGGCCUAUGAAAGGUGUUACCUUGAGUACUGUCUACGUGACAGCUGAAGUGUUACCCAACCCCAUCCUUGGGCUCAGGAUGCCUGUAGGCCAGAAGUUGCCGUUUAGAAGAGUGAGCCAAAGAGGCUGGGAGCUAAGAUGGCUGCCGGAGUAUCUACCAGACCAUCUCAAGCCUCACCAUUUCACCUACAGGCUAAAUGACACAUCCUCUAGUGCUAGGACAGUUGCCAUGGUUACCACCAGGCUCCUAAAGACAGGGGAAGGAUACAAAGUUCAAAUUUCCAGAGAAAUUCCCACUCUUUCCCACAGCAGACAUGACUAUUCCUUUCAGUAACUAGCACAUUCCUCCCAAAAUCACUGUACGCUGCAUUUGUUACCUCAAAGCAUUCACUGCUGAGAAGUUGAUUUGUAAGUGAGGGGGUGGGGGGAAAGACCUCAGGUUGCUCUGGAGGCUUGUCACCAUGGACUGUCAUAGUCACCCCGUUUUCAGGCUAGACCAGAUAACACUGUGAACUCGCAGGCUCAUGGACGAAAACAAUUUAGGCUAUAGGUCGUUCUCGACUUUCUUUGUCAUUGUAGAAUAAGGUGACCCCGGAUGAGUGAGUGAGGUCUGCUGUUGUAGGCUUGUAACUCCAGCUUCUCCAGAAGCCAAGCUGGAAAGUUCAAGGCCUGCCCAGACUACAGUGGUAAAAGGGAGGCUGAGGAUACAGCUCAGCGAUGGAGGACUUACCUAGCCUCCCCAAGGCCCUCCCUGUGUGAAACUUCAGUGCCAAAUACAAAGGAUGGGAAGAAAGAAGAGUCCCCAUGACCUAACCAAGGGACACUGGUUUUGUAGACAAAGAUUUAAACAGAAACACUGUGUGGAUUAAUU